CCGCCGUAAACUAUGCUCGCUAGGUGUCAGGCAUGGCGCGACCGUGUCUGGUGCCGCAGGGAAGCCGUGAAGCGAGCCACCUGGGAAGUACGGCCGCAAGGCUGAAACUUAAAGGAAUUGGCGGGGGAGCACAACAACGGGUGGAGCCUGCGGUUUAAUUGGACUCAACGCCGGACAACUCACCGGGGGACGACAGCAAUAUGUAGGCCAGGCUGAAGACCUUGCCUGAAUCGCUGAGAGGAGGUGCAUGGCGUAGACGUCU
rnacentral:rRNA from 1 species